AGAGUUUGAUUCUGGCUCAGAACGAACGCUGGCAGCGUGGAUUAGGCAUGCAAGUCGAACGAGAUUCCCCGUGAUAGCAAUAUUAUGGGGAUGACAGUGGCGAAAGGGUGAGUAACGCGUGGGCAAUCUGCCUUCAAGUUGGGGAUAACCUGCCGGAAGGCGGACUAAUACCGAAUGUGGCCACCCCUUGAUGAGGGAAUGACUAAAGACGGGGAUCCUUCGGGACCUGUCACUUGAAGAUGAGCCCGCGUACCAUCAGCUCGUUGGUGAGGUAACGGCCCACCAAGGCUUACGGUUAGCUGGUCUGAGAGGAUGGUCAGCCACACUGGGACUGAGACACUGCCCAGACUCCUACGGGAGGCUGCAGUCGAGGAUCUUCUGCAAUGGGCGCAAGCCUGACAGAGCGACGCUGCGUGGAGGAUGAAGGCCUUCGGGUUGUAAACUCCUGUCAUUCGGGAACAAUGAGCAUGGCAUUAAUACCGCCAUGCAGUGAUGGUACCGGAAGAGGAAGCCACGGCUAACUCUGUGCCAGCAGCCGCGGUAAUACAGAGGUGGCGAGCGUUGUUCGGAUUUACUGGGCGUAAAGGGUGCGUAGGUGGUUUCGUGUGUCGGACGUGAAAUCCCGCCGCUCAACGGCGGAACUGCGUUCGAAACUGCGGAGCUAGAGUGCAGGAGGGGAGAGCGGAAUUCUUGGUGUAGCGGUGAAAUGCGUUGAUAUCAAGAGGAACACCGGCGGCGAAGGCGGCUCUCUGGAAUGCAACUGACGCUGAGGCACGAAAGCCAGGGGAGCAAACAGGUUUAGAUACCCUGGUAGUCCUGGCUGUAAACGGUGUGCACUUGGUGUGGGCGGAAUUAACCCCGCCCGUGCCGGAGCUAACGCGUUAAGUGCACCGCCUGGGGAGUACGAUCGCAAGAUUAAAACUCAAAGAAAUUGACGGGGGCCCGCACAAGCGGAGGAGCAUGUGGCUUAAUUCGAUGCAACGCGAAGAACCUUACCAGGACUUGACAUGCAACUGCACGUCCGCCGAAAGGUGGAAAGCCUUCGAGGGUGUUGCACAGGUGCUGCAUGGCUGUCGUCAGUUCGUGCCGUGAGGUGUUGGGUUAAGUCCCGCAACGAACGCAACCCUUGUGUCUAGUUGCCACUCCCGAUGAUGAGUCGGGAAGCACUCUAGACAGACUGCCCUAUAUUGGGAGGAAGGUGGGGAUGACGUCAAGUCAGUAUGGCCCUUACGUCCUGGGCUGCACACGUGCUACAAUGGCCGGUACAAAUGGAAGCAAAACCGCGAGGUGGAGCAAAUCCCCAAAACCGGCCCCAGUUCAGAUUGAAGGCUGCAACUCGCCUUCAUGAAGU
rnacentral:rRNA from 1 species